rnacentral:rRNA from 1 species
UACGUAGGGGGCAAGCGUUGUCCGGAAUCAUUGGGCGUAAAGAGCGUGUAGGCGGCUUGGUAAGUCCGCUGUGAAAGUCCAGGGCUCAACCCUGGAAUGCCGGUGGAAACUGUCAAGCUUGAGUCCGGAAGAGGCGAGUGGAAUUCCUGGUGUAGCGGUGAAAUGCGCAGAUAUCAGGAGGAACACCGGUGGCGAAGGCGGGUCUCUGGGCCGA